AUUGAACGCUGGCGGCAGGCCUAACACAUGCAAGUCGAACGAGUGGCGGACGGGUGAGUAAUGUCUGGGAAAAUGCCCGAUGGAGGGGGAUAACUACUGGAAAAGGUAGCGAAUACCGCAUACCCUCGGAUGUGCCCAAAGGGGGUUAUCGGGUAGGGGGGUAACGGCUCACCUAGGCGACGAUCCCUAGCAGGUCUGAGAGGAUGACCAGCCACACUGGAACUGAGACACGGGCCAGACUCCUACGGGAGGCAGCAGUGGGGAAUAUUGCACAAUGGGCGCAAGCCUGAUGCAGCCAUGCCGCGUGUAUGAAGAAGGCCUUCGGGUUGUAAAGUACUUUCAGCGAGGAGGCGUUACUCGCAGAAGAAGCACCGGCUAACUCCGUGCCAGCAGCCGCGGUAAUUC
rnacentral:rRNA from 1 species